rnacentral:rRNA from 1 species
CCUACGGGCGGCAGCAGUGGGGAAUAUUGCGCAAUGGGCGAAAGCCUGACGCAGCGACGCCGCGUGAGGGAUGAAGGUCUUCGGAUCGUAAACCUCUGUCAGCAGGGAAGAACGGUCACUGUGCUAAUCAGCAGUGAAUUGACGGUACCUGCAAAGGAAGCACCGGCUAACUCCGUGCCAGCAGCCGCGGUAAUACGGAGGGUGCGAGCGUUAAUCGGAAUUACUGGGCGUAAAGCGCUCGUAGGCGGUAUGGCAAGUCAAGGGUGAAAUCCCCGCGCUCAACGUGGGAACUGCCUUUGAAACUGGCAGACUGGAGUGUGUGAGAGGAUAGUGGAAUUCCAGGUGUAGGAGUGAAAUCCGUAGAUAUCUGGAGGAACAUCAGUGGCGAAGGCGACUAUCUGGCACAUAACUGACGCUGAGGAGCGAAAGCGUGGGUAGCAAACAGGAUUAGAUACCCGGGUAGUC